rnacentral:rRNA from 1 species
AGAGUUUGAUCAUGGCUCAGGACGAACGCUGGCGGCGUGCUUAAUACAUGCAAGUCGAGCGAGGUUACUGUUUUGGAUCCCUUCGGGGUGAAGAAGCUUUAACCUAGCGGCGGACGGGUGAGUAACGCGUGGGUAACCUACCCCAAAGUCCGGGAUAACAGCGGGAAACCGCUGCUAAUACCGGAUGCCUUUACCUUGGGGCAUCUUGAGGUAAAGAAAGGCAACGCUUUGGGAUGGGCCCGCGUCCCAUUAGCUAGUUGGUGAGGUAACGGCUCACCAAGGCGACGAUGGGUAGCCGGCCUGAGAGGGUGGACGGCCACACUGGGACUGAGACACGGCCCAGACUCCUACGGGAGGCAGCAGUAGGGAAUAUUGCGCAAUGGACGGAAGUCUGACGCAGCGACGCCGCGUGAGCGAUGAAGGUCUUCGGAUCGUAAAGCUCUGUCCUUGGGGAAGAAGGCGAAAGCUUGACGGUACCCAAGAAGAAAGCCCCGGCUAACUACGUGCCAGCAGCCGCGGUAAUACGUAGGGGGCGAGCGUUGUCCGGAAUUACUGGGCGUAAAGGGUGCGUAGGCGGCCCUUUAAGUCGGAUGUGAAAGCCCGCGGCUUAACCGCGGAAUGGCAUUCGAAACUGGAGGGCUUGAGUGUCGGAGAGGGUAGUGGAAUUCCCAGUGUAGCGGUGAAAUGCGUAGAUAUUGGGAGGAACACCAGUGGCGAAGGCGACUACCUGGACGAUAACUGACGCUGAGGCACGAAAGCUAGGGGAGCAAACAGGAUUAGAUACCCUGGUAGUCCUAGCCGUAAACGAUGGGUACUAGGUGUGGGUGGUUUCGAUACCAUCCGUGCCGUAGUUAACGCAUUAAGUACCCCGCCUGGGGAGUACGUGCGCAAGCAUGAAACUCAAAGGAAUUGACGG